rnacentral:lncRNA from 1 species
AGAGGAGGCUGCUGGGAAGACAGGACACGUGGAGGGAGCUGGAACUCCUGGAGCCGGGCACCGUCUGCGCGCUGGACGCCGGGCCCAGGGGACUGGGUGGAGUCUCUGGGGGAGUAGCCGGCUGUCUAAAUAAUGCUGCCUCUCUUUGGUGUGACUGGUUAUACUUUGUCUUCUUCAUACGGAGUGGUUCCGUUUUGCGCCUAGGGGCGUAACCCGCCCGGGAGGGAAUCUGGCUGCGGCGGACCAGGGGGCGCGGCUCGGGAUGCCUGCGCGAACCCUCGGGGGCUGGUGGGGAGGUGUCAGUGGCAGGUGUUUCGUGGUGCUACCGGACAGGCAGAAUGACCGACCUCGCCGGGCGACCGCUCCCAGCCGCGAGAAUCCUGUAUUCGUUUAUCUGGGAGUGACCAUCCUCGCUACUCAGCUACUCACGUGAGGCUCCAGCGUUCACACAACGCGAACCCUCAACCACUAUGGACGUGGAAGUAAAAGCCCCUUCAGAGUUUGUUGUAGCCCAGACAGUUUAGGCAAUAUCCCAGCUCAGAGUACCAUAAUUAAGAUUGCAAAAAGGAUCAAUAUGGGAAACUUUUGCAGUUCCCUGUCCAGUUAAAAUCAUAUUUAUAUACUGUGGCAUGAAGUGUAAUCACAUGCAUUCCACCGAUAUUUAUUGAACACCUAACUUGCCACAAGGGGAUGCCAUAACGGAUAAGACCAAAACCAUCCCUGCCUUCAUGCAGCUCACAGCUGUGCAAGCAAGCGUGCCGGUCCUGCCGCCAUUGUAAGAGUGUGCAACAAGUCCCAUGGGAAGGAAGAAAACCAUAACAGACACUUUCCACCCUGAGACAAAGUACCCAUACUACUCCUUUACAUCUGGUCUCCAAAGUGAAUGACAUCUUGAGCUUUUCCCAUGAGUUACUGAUUCCCGGAUGAAUACCAUAUUAUCCCUGACUUUUGAAUGUGGAAAUUUGGGGAUAUGUCACACACAAUUCUUGUGACACACAUUCCUCAACGUGAGCAUGUCAUCUAUGCUGAAAAGACAAAUUGUUCCUUUCCUGCUGAGUUGGGGAGACAGAUAUAAGCAGACCAUUAUGUGAUAAGAGCUGAUGGGCUAUUGGGGAGACAGACGGCCACUUUUGAGUGAGUUAAUUAACUGGAUACUAGAAGUUAAAGCUAAUUGAUGAUUACAACAGACAGUUCUUGGGUGCCUGCUAUGAACAGAGCACUCUAGGGCAACCCCGGCUACAAGUUAAAAUCAUCCUAGGAGCUUAAAAAAGUUCCCAUCCCCAGGCCACACCCCAAACCAAUUAAGCCAGAACCUCUGAAGGGGAGAUCCAGACUGAAGGAUUUUUUUUUCCAGACUGAAGGAUUUUUUAAAGCUCUUCCAGUAAUUCCAGUGUGCACCCAAGACUGAGAACCACAGCUAUAGACGAUGCCAGAAUAAAUAAGAUAGUUUCCCAUUGAACUGUAUGCUUUUAAAGAGUGAAUUUUAUGAGACUGCAUAAAUGUUAAUUCACACCUAGAAGUACCUGGAAACAAAUCAUGAAGAUUGUUUCACCUUUGCCAGGG